UAGGGAAUCUUCGGCAAUGGGGGGAACCCUGACCGAGCAACGCCGCGUGAGUGAAGAAGGUUUUCGGAUCGUAAAGCUCUGUUGUUAAGGAAGAACGAGUGUGAGAAUGGAAAGUUCAUACUGUGACGGUACUUAACCAGAAAGGGACGGCUAACUACGUGCCAGCAGCCGCGGUAAUACGUAGGUCCCGAGCGUUGUCCGGAUUUAUUGGGCGUAAAGCGAGCGCAGGCGGUUAGAUAAGUCUGAAGUUAAAGGCAGUGGCUCAACCAUUGUAGGCUUUGGAAACUGUUUAACUUGAGUGCAGAAGGGGGGAGUGGAAUUCCAUGUGUAGAGGUGAAAUGCGUAGAUAUAUGGAGGAACACCGGUGGCGAAGGCGGCUCUCUGGUCUGUAACUGACGCUGAGGCUCGAAAGCGUGGGGAGCGAACAGG
rnacentral:rRNA from 1 species